rnacentral:rRNA from 1 species
UACGUAGGGGGGCAAGCGUUGUCCGGAUUUAUUGGGCGUAAAGAGCUCGUAGGUGGUUCGGUAAGUCGGAUGUGAAAUCUCCAGGCUCAACCUGGAGGGGUCAUUCGAUACUGCCGUGACUAGAGGUCGGUAGGGGAGUGUGGAAUUCCAGGUGGAGCGGUGAAAUGCGUAGAGAUCUGGAAGAACACCGAAGGCGAAGGCAGCGUUCUGGGAAGCAACUGACGCUCAUGUGCGAAAGCCAGGGGAGCGAACGGG